CCUACGGGUGGCAGCAGUGAGGAAUAUUGGUCAAUGGACGAGAGUCUGAACCAGCCAAGUAGCGUGAAGGAUGACUGCCCUAUGGGUUGUAAACUUCUUUUAUAUGGGAAUAAAACGUUCCACGUGUGGGAUUUUGUAUGUACCAUAUGAAUAAGGAUCGGCUAACUCCGUGCCAGCAGCCGCGGUAAUACGGAGGAUCCGAGCGUUAUCCGGAUUUAUUGGGUUUAAAGGGAGCGAAGGUGGAUUGUUAAGUCAGUUGUGAAAGUUUGCGGCUCAACCGUAAAAUUGCAUUUGAAACUGGCAGUCUUGAGUACAGUAGAGGUGGGCGGAAUUCGUGGUGUAGCGGUGAAAUGCGUAGAUAUCACGAAGAACUCCGAUUGCGAAGGCAGUUCACUGGACUGCAACUGACACUGAGGCUCGAAAGUGUGGGUAUCAAACAGGAUUAGAUACCCUAGUAGUC
rnacentral:rRNA from 1 species